rnacentral:rRNA from 1 species
CCUACGGGAGGCAGCAGUGGGGAAUAUUGCACAAUGGGGGAAACCCUGAUGCAGCGACGCCGCGUGAGUGAAGAAGUAAUUCGUUAUGUAAAGCUCUAUCAGCAGGGAAGAAAAUGACGGUACCUGAGUAAGAAGCCCCGGCUAACUACGUGCCAGCAGCCGCGGUAAUACGUAGGGGGCAAGCGUUAUCCGGAUUUACUGGGUGUAAAGGGAGCGUAGACGGCAGUGCAAGUCUGGAGUGAAAGGCGGGGGCUCAACCCCCGGACUGCUCUGGAAACUGUACGGAUGGAGUGCAGGAGAGGUAAGUGGAAUUCCUAGUGUAGCGGUGAAAUGCGGAGAUAUUAGGAGGAACACCAGUGGCGAAGGCGGCUUACUGGACUGUAACUGACGUUGAGGCUCGAAAGCGUGGGGAGCAAACAGGAUUAGAUACCCCGGUAGUC